rnacentral:rRNA from 1 species
CUGCUCAAUGAUUUUUUAAAUUGCUGUGGUAUUUUGACUAUGCGAAGGUAUUGAAAUAAGACUUUAUUGGGUGCUAAGAGAAUGGAUAAACAUUAAAUUAACUAUUUAUAAAAAAUAUUAGAAUUUUGAUAUUAAUGAAGAUAUUAAUAUGAAAUAGUGGGACGAGAAGACCCUAUGAAUUUUACUUUAAAUAUGAAUAUAAAAAUUUAUAUAAAUUGUAACAUUUAAAAGUUUAAUUGGGGUGAUUUAAAAAGAUUAAUAAUCUUUAAAUAGAGCCUAUAUAGUGGAUUAUAUGAAUAAAAUACUCUAGGGAUAACAGCGUAAUUAUUUUUGAUAGUUCAUAUUGACAAAAUAGUUUGCGACCUCGAUGUUGGAUUA